rnacentral:rRNA from 1 species
GACGAACGCUGGCGGCGUGCCUAAUACAUGCAAGUUGAGCGCUGAAGGUUGGUACUUGUACCGACUGGAUGAGCAGCGAACGGGUGAGUAACGCGUGGGGAAUCUGCCUUUGAGCGGGGGACAACAUUUGGAAACGAAUGCUAAUACCGCAUAAAAACUUUAAACACAAGUUUUAAGUUUGAAAGAUGCAAUUGCACCACUCAAAGAUGAUCCCGCGUUGUAUUAGCUAGUUGGUGAGGUAAGGGCUCACCAAGGCGAUGAUACAUAGCCGACCUGAGAGGGUGAUCGGCCACAUUGGGACUGAGACACGGCCCAAACUCCUACGGGAGGCAGCAGUAGGGAAUCUUCGGCAAUGGACGAAAGUCUGACCGAGCAACGCCGCGUGAGUGAAGAAGGUUUUCGGAUCGUAAAACUCUGUUGGUAGAGAAGAACGUUGGUGAGAGUGGAAAGCUCAUCAAGUGACGGUAACUACCCAGAAAGGGACGGCUAACUACGUG